rnacentral:rRNA from 1 species
GAUGAACGCUGGCGGCGUGCCUAAUACAUGCAAGUCGAGCGAACAGACGAGGAGCUUGCUCCUCUGACGUUAGCGGCGGACGGGUGAGUAACACGUGGAUAACCUACCUAUAAGACUGGGAUAACUUCGGGAAACCGGAGCUAAUACCGGAUAAUAUAUUGAACCGCAUGGUUCAAUAGUGAAAGACGGUUUUGCUGUCACUUAUAGAUGGAUCCGCGCCGCAUUAGCUAGUUGGUAAGGUAACGGCUUACCAAGGCAACGAUGCGUAGCCGACCUGAGAGGGUGAUCGCCCACCUGGGAAGGGGGACGGGGACCAGGGGCCGAGGGGAGGGCGCAGUAGGGAACUGGCGGCAGUGGGGGAAAUCCUGCAGGAGGAGCGGCGGGGUGAUGAAGAAGUUCUGCGGGUGGGAAAACUGUGUUAUGGGGGAAAAACAAAUGCGCAGGUAACUAAGCGGGUGUGACGGUAACGGAUAAAGAAGCCCAGGGUAACUACGUG